AAUGGGCAUCAAUGGGAAUCAAUGGGCAUCAAUGGGAAUCAAUGGGCACCAAUGUUAUCAAUGGGCACCAAUGCCCAUGAAUGACCCUCUCCCUGACCCCGCCCCCUCCGCCCCUCCCAGCUCAGUGAUUGGCUGCGCUCCUCCUCCGGCCCCGCCCCCUCCUCGCUGGCGGCCGCGCGCGCGCUGGGGCUCGCGCUGCUGCUCUGCCCCUUCGUGGCCGCGCUGGGGGGCGGGGCCUUCCUGGGCUCCGCCUCCUGCUUCCCACGUGACCGCCGGCGCGCGCGGCUGCUGGCGCGGGGUCUGGACCCCGACGACGAGGACCUCGAGGACCCCGAUGACCUCGUGGUGCCGCGGGGGGGGCGCCCCACUAAGGUGCCUGUGGCCCAUGUGCUGUCCUGACCCCCAUCUAUGGGGCACAGACCCACAUCUAUGGGGCACAGACCCACAUCUAUGGGGCACAGACCCACAUCUAUGGGGCCCAGGCCCACAUAGGGGCUCAUUCAUUGACCCCCAAUGGAGGAUCCCGACCCACAUCUAUGGGGCGCAGACCCACAUAAAGGGGCCAUUGACCCCCAGUGGAGGAUCCUGACCCACAUCUAUGGGGCGCAGACCCACAUCUGCCUGUCCCAGACUCAGAAUAGGGGUCCUGGACUCAACAUGGAGGAUCCUGACCCACAUAUGUGGGGCCCAGACCCACAUCUCUGCACCUCUGACCCACAUAACGGGGUCAGUGACCCACAGCGGAGACUCCUGACCCACAUCUAUGGGGCCCAGACCCACAUCUAUGGGGCACAAGCACCACAGCCCCCAAUAAACCUGUUUGGACACCCCAAA